rnacentral:rRNA from 1 species
ACAGUGUCUGGUGGGUAGUUUGACUGGGGCGGUCUCCUCCUAAAGAGUAACGGAGGAGCACGAAGGUUAGCUAAUCCUGGUCGGACAUCAGGAGGUUAGUGCAAAGGCAUAAGCUAGCUUGACUGCGAGCGUGACGGCGCGAGCAGGUGCGAAAGCAGGUCUUAGUGAUCCGGUGGUUCUGAAUGGAAGGGCCAUCGCUCAACGGAUAAAAGGUACUCCGGGGAUAACAGGCUGAUACCGCCCAAGAGUUCAUAUCGACGGCGGUGUUUGGCACCUCGAUGUCGGCUCAUCACAUCCUGGGGCUGAAGUAGGUCCCAAGGGUAUGGCUGUUCGCCAUUUAAAGUGGUACGCGAGCUGGGUUUAGAACGUCGUGAGACAGUUCGGUCCCUAUCUGCCGUGGGCGCUGGAGAAUUGAGGGGGGCUGCUCCUAGUACGAGAGGACCGGAGUGGACGCAUCACUGGUGUUCGGGUUGUCAUGCCAAUGGCACUGCCCGGUAGCUAAAUGCGGAAGAGAUAAGUGCUGAAAGCAUCUAAGCACGAAACUUGCCCCGAGAUGAGUUCUCCCUGACCCUUUAAGGGUCCUGAAGGAACGUUGAAG